GAUAAACGCUAGCGGCGUGCUUUAUGCAUGCAAGUCGAACGGUCCCGAUUUAUCGGGAUAGUGGCGAACGGGUGAGUAACGCGUAAGUAACCUGCCCUCAAGUGGGGAACAACCCCGGGAAACUGGGGCUAAUACCGCAGUGGUGGUAAAGGUAAUGUUUUACCUCUAAAGCCUUAGGGCGCUUGGGGAGGGGCUUGCGUCCGAUUAGCUAGUUGGUAGGGUAACGGUUUACCAAGGCGAUGAUCGGUAGCUGGUUUGAGAGGACGGCCAGCCACACUGGGACUGAGACACGGCCCAGACUCCUACGGGAGGCAGCAGCAAGGAAUUUUGUGCAAUGGGCGAAAGCCUGACACAGCAACGCCGCGUGGGGGAUGAAUGCCUUCGGGUUGUAAACCCCUUUUCUCAGGGAAGAAUAAUGACGGUACCUGAGGAAUAAGCCUCGGCUAACUACGUGCCAGCAGCCGCGGUAAUACGUAGGAGGCGAGCGUUAUCCGGAUUUACUGGGCGUAAAGGGAGCGCAGGUGGUUCUUCAAGUCGGAUGUAAAAUCUCCCGGCUUAACUGGGAGCGAUCAUUCGAUACUGUUGGACUAGAGGACAGCAGAGGGAGGUGGAAUUCCCGGUGUAGUGGUGAAAUGCGUAGAUAUCGGGAGGAACACCAGUGGCGAAGGCGGCCUCCUGGGCUGUUUCUGACACUGAGGCUCGAAAGCGUGGGGAGCGAACAGGAUUAGAUACCCUGGUAGUCCACGCUGUAAACUAUGGACACUAGGUACAGGGAGUAUCGACCCUUUCUGCGCCGAAGCUAACGCAUUAAGUGUCCCGCCUGGGGACACGGCCGCAAGGCU
rnacentral:rRNA from 1 species